rnacentral:rRNA from 1 species
AUUGAACGCUGGCGGCAGGCCUAACACAUGCAAGUCGAGCGGAUGAGAAGAGCUUGCUCUUCGAUUCAGCGGCGGACGGGUGAGUAAUGCCUAGGAAUCUGCCUGGUAGUGGGGGACAACGUUUCGAAAGGAACGCUAAUACCGCAUACGUCCUACGGGAGAAAGCCGGGGACCUUCGGGCCUUGCGCUAUCAGAUGAGCCUAGGUCGGAUUAGCUAGUUGGUGAGGUAAUGGCUCACCAAGGCGACGAUCAGUAACUGGUCUGAGAGGAUGAUACGUCACGCUGGAACUGAGACACGGUCCAGACUCCUACGGGAGGCAGCAGUGGUGAAUAUUGGACAAUGGGCGGAAGCCUGAUCCAGCCAUGCCGCGUGUGAGAAGAAGGUCUUCGGAUUGUAAAGCACUUUAAGUUGGGAGGAAGGGCAGUAAGUUAAUACCUUGCUGUUUUGACGUUACCGACAGAAUAAGCACCGGCUAACUCUGUGCCAGCCGCCGCCGUAACAC